UACGGAGGAUGCGAGCGUUAUCCGGAUUUAUUGGGUUUAAAGGGUGCGCAGGCGGCACGGCAAGCCGGCGGUCAAAUCGCGGGGCUCAACCCCGCCCAGCCGUCGGAACUGCCGGGCUAGAGUGGGCGAGAAGUGCGCGGAAUGCGUGGUGUAGCGGUGAAAUGCAUAGAUAUCACGCAGAACUCCGAUUGCGAAGGCAGCGCACCGGCGCCCUACUGACGCCCAGGCACGAAAGCGUGGGUAUCGAACAGG
rnacentral:rRNA from 1 species